UGGUCAAGGUAUUAAGGGUGCAGGGCGGAUGCCUUGGCACUAGGAGCCGAUGAAGGACGUGAUAAGCUGCGAUAAGCUUCGGGGAGUUGCACGUAAACUUUGAUCCGAAGAUUUCCGAAUGAGGAAACUCACUUAGAGUAAUGUCUAAGUAUCAUUAAGUGAAUACAUAGCUUAAUGAGGGGAACUCAGGGAACUGAAACAUCUAAGUACCUGAAGGAAGAGAAAGAAAUUCGAUUCCGUAAGUAGCGGCGAGCGAACGCGGAUUAGCCCAAACCAAUAAAGUUUUCUUUAUUGGGGUUG
rnacentral:rRNA from 1 species